AGUGAACGCUGGCGUAGGCCCAACCCCAGCAAAGUCAAACGGAGCCCAAGUAGAGGCUGCCUUUUCCGGGUGGGGGGUGGCGACCGGGGAGGGAAAACAUGGAAUUCACCUUUUCGGGGGGGGUAACGGAGGGAAAACUACGCCUAAUACGGAUUCGGCCCAACGGUUAAAACAGGGGGAUCUCCGACCCUUGGCGAAUUGAUGAGGCGGUUGUCGGAUUGGCUGGUUGGCGGGGUAAAGGCCCACCAAGGCGACGAUCCGUAGCUGGUCUGAGAGGAUGAUCAGCCACACUGGAACUGAGACACGGUCCAGACUCCUACGGGAGGCAGCAGUGGGGAAUAUUGGACAAUGGGCGCAAGCCUGAUCCAGCCAUACCGCGUGGGUGAAGAAGGCCUUCGGGUUGUAAAGCCCUUUUGUUGGGAAAGAAAAGCAGCAGGUUAAUACCCCGCUGUUCUGACGGUACCCAAAGAAUAAGCACCGGCUAACUUCGUG
rnacentral:rRNA from 1 species